GCCAAAUUUCUCAACCGUUGAGUAGGGCUGAGCAAAACUAUCUGAUAAUCCGAAAAUCCGAAUAUCCGAAAAAAAAACACUUUUUUUAACAUUUUAAAAACAUCCGGGUAAGUGCCUAAGUGGUAACCCUAAAGGGCCUAAACUCCCUAAGCCAUCCGCCUCUUUCAUACUUUCUCUUCCUCCUCUACUUUCUCCCUCCUCCAUCCUCUCUCAUCUCAGCCUCCCUCCUCCCUCCUUCAUCCUCUCUCUUCAUCUUUUGCAAUUCACCUUAUACUCACAAACAGGACCAACACUUCUACUCUUCCACCGCAUCGAGGAGUUGUUUGCUAUGAGGUUCAAUUCAAAUCUAAAGCGUCGGAGUUCAUCUCCAUCUCGUGUCCCGCAACUUACCUACAAAUGAGCGUCGCAAGCUUGCUUCAGAAAUGUUUAAGAUGAUCGUGAUUUUACAAGCCCACUUUGCUUUCAUCAUUCAUGUUCAGAUGUGGAAGAAGAAGGUUACAAGUUUGCCAUAUAAAUGGAGUAUAUUUGUUAGUUAGGCAUCAAGUAUGUUUACCCAAUUUAAUUGGGUUUUAGCAUUCUACAAUUUAAUUAGUAAGUUAUUUUUUUUUUUUUGGGUUAAGCAUAUUCGGUCAUUAAUUUGAUAUCAAUUAUAUUGAAGUACAAUCCUUUGAGGUAUUGGUUGAUGUUGAGUUUAGUUUUUGAUAUCAUUUUGGUCAUUAAUUUGAUAUCAAUUACAUUUGGUUUAGUUUUGGAGUUGUUUUAGAUAUUAUUUUGGUCAUUAACAUUAUAUCAAUUAUAUUUGGUUUAGUUUUUGAGUUGGUUGAUAUAGAUGUUGCAUACUACUAGUACUGUAGUAUCAUUUUACUCAUUUUGUGUAAAAUCUACCUUGAAACUUGUAUGUCUUAAGCCUAAAAAUACAUUCAAUUUUAAUAUAAUUCGUGUGUUGAGUUAAAGUAUGGUACUAAUAAUUUCAGACAUAGGAUAUCCGACUUAUCCGAUACGAAAAUUUCGGAUAUCUGAAUUUUCGGAUAUCCGAUAUUUUCGGAUCGGAUACGGAUAUCAAAUAUCCGGAUUUUCGGAUACGGAUAUCCGAUCCGUGCUCAGGCCUACCAUUGAGUACCGGAAUUUUAAAUUUCGAAGAACAUGGCUGAUGAAAUAGACCAGGAGCUGGUUGUCGUCUCUCUUACAAGGAGAACGAGAUUAAGAGCAUGAUUUAAGACGGCUAGGUACAUGUAAAGCAUUUCCUUGGGCAAAGGGCUUACAAGCCUUGGUAAGGAGGUGUAAGUGUUCUUUCAAUUUUUGAAAUGCCGCCUAAGCAUCAUCUCCCCAUUCAAACAUAGUAUUUUUACUGAUUGCUUGAAAGAAAUAAAGGCACUUGUCAUCUGACCGGCUGAGGAAUCUCUUUUGGACUUCUCUGACAGUGCGAGGUGACUUCAUGACAAUGACCGCCUGUAUCUUCUCUGGGUUUUCCUCUAUCCCCAUUUGAUCAAUAAAAAAUUCGAGAAACUUCCCAGACUCAACACUAAAGACACACUUUUAGGAUUAAGCAUGGCCUUGUGCCGCUUGAGUUUGGUGAAUGUUUCUUGAAGGUCAGCAAGACACUACUACAAAUCCCUUAGUUUCUGGACGCUAUGUGCUCGACGCCAUGUAUCAAGCAUUAGCCAAAAAAAUUAUUUCCGUGUUUUUCGACGCUUUUAAGCGUCACCAUUAGAUCUCGACACAUAAAAGCGUCGAAAAAAAUACAUGUGAUAUGCACGUGACUGUCUAUAUCCCGGGACUGCAAAGGAAAAAAAAAGCGGGCUAAUUAAAUUAAACCAAAAAAAAAAAUAAAAAUAAAUAAACCGCCAUUCAUACGCAGUUAGCAGUCAGAAGAAAUAAAAAAAAAACCCUUUAGCUCCCAACAACGAACCCUAACUUGAUCUUCUUUGCUUGCUCACGCACAAUCACUCUCAUCUAAUCUCUAAAACCACUCGAAAUUGUUGAAUUUUCGUUGCUCUCUUCAAUAUUAUCUUCAAUUUUCAGUAAUCCUCUCGCUCUUGUCAUCAAUUUUCCGUAGGAUUUGGUUGAUAUAUCAAUUUCGUAGGUUUUCGUUAUCAAUUUCGUUGCUUAUGCUGAAUUUUUGUUUAUUCGUUGCAUGUAUGGGAAUUCUUUUUGCUAAUGGGAUUUCGAAACCACCCACGCAGAGAAGUGAAGAAUUUAUAUCACAGGUGACAGAGGAGGAGCUUAUCUAAAAAUUGUUCUAAUUGUGAUAGUUGCUGCACUUAGUGAGUUGGCCGAGGUAACUACCCAAAUUCCUAAAUUAUCUUAUGUCAUAUAAUUGUAUAUUAUAUUUUCGUGUCAUAUGUAUGGUAGAUAGCCCUCCCAAAAUAGUUUUAGCUCAAUUUAUGGUAUUGAUCAUAUAUGAAAAAUGUAAGUAAUUAAGUUGUAGAUUUGUAGUGAGGUAGUAUAUUAUAUAUAAUUCAUUAUGUCUUAUCUAUGUGCUUAUUAAUUAUAUUAAAUUAAUACGUAUAUGUAUCUUUUUUUUUGUGAAUGCUUCCAUGUAUUAUUAUGUUUGAUCACUUUGUUUGCAUUUUGUCUCCAACCACAAUGAUAACAACAUAUAAAAGCUAUAGAAGGGGAAACCUUGGUAAAGUAUUGCUAAAAUUAACCUAAGUGAUGGAAUAUGUUGUUACACACUUCUUAAUUAUAACAUUUAUAAUAUUUAUUACCAAAUUAUUGUCAACUUAUUAUUGAUACUUAUUAAUAAUUAUUAAAUAUUAAAUUUUAUUAUGAAUUCAUUGUAGAUAUGGAUACUAGUUGGAUUGAUUUACCAAAAGGAAAAUCUGCCUAUUAUGAGGGUUGCAUGAAAUUCUUAGAGAUUGCUAAGGAGACUCUUAUUGAUGGAAAAACCAAAUGCUCGUGUAAUAAGUGCAAGUUAAAUAAAUGGCAUCUUUUAGAAGAAGUAGGAGGCCAUAUUUUAUUUAACGGUUUUUAUAAGAAUUAUAGAAAAUGGAUUUUUCAUUGUGAGGGUGAAGGGAGUAAAACCAUAAAGCCCCCUAGUGAUCAUGGGAAGGAAGUAGAUCGAGAUGAUAUGGAUGGGCUACUAAGAGCGGCUUUCGGGGUUCACAUUCCACAAUCCACUAAUGAAUUCCAAGGCCCAUCAUCCAAUGAAACGAAUUUUGACGAGGAAGGUUCAUAUGACAUGCAUGAAGAGUUUGAUUUUCAUUGUGAGGUAGAUGAUGAAAUGCCUUACUAACACUAAUGAAGAAAUGGAAAAGUAUAAACGUCUCAUGGAAGCUUCUAACGAGGGUCUAUAUGAGGGUUGUACUACUUUCUCAAAGUUAUCAUUUCUCUUACAUCUGUUUCACCUUAAGUGUAUGUUUCAUUGGUCUGCUGAGUCAUUUAAUAAAUUGAUUGAACUUCUAAAUGACGCAUUCCCUCAUAUUCAAGAGUUUCCAUCAUCUUACUAUGAAGGGAUGAAAAUAAUCAAAGACUUGGGAUUAGGAUAUGAAAAAAUCCAUGCAUGUCCAAAUGAUUGCAUGUUAUAUUGGGGGGAAUUUGCUGAUGAAAUUGAGUGUCAUAUUUGUCAUACAUCAAGGUGGAAAACUAUGAAAGGGAAGGAGGGUGACAAAAUUGAAAAAGAGAAUGAAUCAGUUAAGAAAGGUGAGCCAGCUAAAGUUAUGCGAUAUUUUCCUCUCAUACCUAGACUAAAGAGGCUUUACAUGUCUUCUAAAACAGCAGAGGAUAUGAGAUGGCAUUUUAGCUGUGAGGAUGAUAAGAUCCUACGGCACCCUGCAGAUGGUGUUGCUUGGAAAAAAUUUGAUGAAAAAUAUAAGGAAUUUUCUGCUGACCCUCGCAGUGUUAGAUUGGGAUUAGCUAGUGAUGGUUUUAAUCCAUAUCGUCUAAUGAAUACCAAUUACAGUACAUGGCCAGUGGUUUUAAUUCCUUACAAUCUUCCACCAUGGAUCUGCAUGAAGUCAUCAUCUUUCAUUUUGUCCUUGAUUAUUCCCGGUAAAUAUGGUCCUGGUAUUGAUAUUGAUGUAUACUUGCAACCAUUAAUACAUGACUUGAAAUUGUUGUGGAAAGUUGUAAAUGUUUUUGAUGCUUACAGUGGAAAAUCUUUUAAGAUGCGAGCGGCCUUACACUCCACAAUAAAUGACUUCCCAGCAUAUGCUCUGUUGUCGGGAUGGAGUACCAAAGGUUAUAAAGCUUGCCCUUCUUGUGCUGAUUCUACUUAUUCAUAUAGAUUUGGUGGUAAAAUUGUCUUCCCUGGACAUCGAAAAUGGUUGCCAAUCGAUCAUCCUUAUCGCUCUGAAGCUCAAUUAUUUGAUGGGAAAGAAGAGUACGGUCUUGCUCCAAUCCCUUUAAGUGGGACCGAUGUUUUGAAGCAGCAAGAAAAGGUUAAGUAUGUUUACGGAACCUCGAAAAAAAGCUUCUAACAAAAGAAAAAAUAGAGGAACAACAGAUAUUGAUGAUGAUUAUCAAGCUGAUGCCGAUGAUGUUAUAUGGCGUAAGCAAAGUGCAUUUUUUGAAUUGGAAUAUUGGGAACAUAAUCUUCUUAGACAUAGUUUAGAUGUAAUGCACAUUGAGAAGAAUGUGUGUGAUAAUCUAUUAGGAACUCUAUUAGAUAUGGAUAAAAGUAGAGAUGAUCUAGAAGCUAGAAAGGCUCUUGAGAAGAAAAACAUUAAACCUCAUCUUUGGCUUCAAUCUCAUCCUAAUCGGGCUCAAAAAUAUAUGACUCCAACUUUGAAUACAUCAACAACAUCAAACGCACCUGGCAAUCUUAAGACUCCAACUUUGAAUACAUCAACAACAUCAAACGCACCAAUCUUAAGACUCCAACUUUAAGUUCUCAGAAGGUGGCUGAAGAACCAUCAUGUUUUGGUAAAGAAAACCCACCCACACUUUCAUCCAUGAGCUUACCUAACAUCCCACCUUCUAUUACAUCAAAGUCACUAAAAUAUCCUUCUACAUCUUCUUUCAAUUCUGAUCAGUCCUCCUCCUUAAACUUACUCAAUUCAAAUGAGAAAAGCAGAAAAGAAGAUGUUAAUAUUGAAACGGAGGAAAAGAAUUGUGAGGAAACAAAAAAAAGCUCAAAACAAGUAAAGUCUCUACGAUCAAAGUCACAUCCUGAUUGGCCUAUGACUGUAAAUGAUUUUGAUGACAAAGAAGAGGUUUUGACAGUGGAUAGAGACGUAUUGUCCACUUGGAGAAGAGGAUUGGCAUGCUAUUGAUGAGCAUUUUAAAAAGAAGAUAAUUAAUGAGAUGAGAG